CAAGAUCGUAAAUACCGAGUUAACGGAACUCUCUUGUAAAGAAGUCCGGAAAAGCGGGUCGAUCUUGGGCAUUUUUUGUUUAUUCAAAACAUGGCAUCGGAAGACGAUUUAACCUCCAUGUGCUUAAUUCCACAAUUAAAAGCAUUUUUAAAUGAAAGGUGUGUAAAAAUGUCUGGAUACAGGAAAAAUGGAUUUCUGAAUUUAGCUCGCGAAGCUAUAUAUUUUGACGCAAGCUCUUCUCAGCUUUGGGAAUUUCCUGGCUGACAGCAGUGGGAAAACAUCCAUCACAUUUCCAUUUAAAUCUAUCAGUUGUGGAUAUUUCUGCGUAUUAUGUUUCUUUCUUGAGUCAUUACUACAGUCUACUGCAAUGCAAUGAUAGUACACCAUUGUUAAAAUCGGGUGAAUCAAUCACGACAAAAGUUGCAGAACUGGUAUUAUUUACCAACAUGCCCAAAUUCUCGCAUACUCUGGGUCUCGCGAGACUUUGAAAGGGGAAAGUAAAAUUUAAAACCGAGACGGAAAAAGUAGUCGCGAUCUUGCGUAUUAAAUCAUUUCAUGCUGAUUUGAGAAACUCUUUCUAAGGUGUAGUAAGACAUUUUUGAAAAGUAUAACAUUUGUGAAUCAAAAUUAUAUUUCUGAGGAAUGUAGUUUAUAAUAUAUUACUUGUUUAAUUUUUUUUUUUUGCAAGUACAACAUGUACAUGGGUGGAAUUUUAUCAUCCACUGAAAUUGGAUUUUUGCACUUUUCAAAGUUAAUUUCAUAAAAGAUUUGAAAUAGCUAAAUCAAGCUCUAUAGCUUAAUAUAGAGAUUGUAUUGGAGCUGUUCAUGUACCUAAAGAUUUCACAAAAUAAGUGAAGCAAUUUUGAACUUAAAAUAUUUUGUUCUAUACAUGCAUGCUUGUAAAACCAGAUAUAUAUCUUGCAGGUGAUGUGAUGGUGUACAUAUAUGACCUGCUUUGGUCUGAAUGGUUUGCUAUUAAACUAUGGACAGGACAGUGGUAUCAUCUGUGAAUAACUGACCAUGCUGAUUAUGUCAAAGCUAUGGGAUAUUUCUACAUAAAUGAUCAUCAUACUCAUCAAAGACACAACAGAAUGCGAUAUAUGCGACCAAAAAUGACCAAGACAAAAGAAAAAUGUUAUAUGGGGAUAUAGGAAGUGGAUCAUCCAUUUUCCUUGCCUUUCCCUCGAGGUCUUCAGACAGUGUCUCUAUACAUCAUUAACCAUGUUGAUUAGCUCUCAUGAUGUCAUGCCAUUACUGCCAGAUUACCUAUAAUACUGCCAGACUACCUAUAAUAAUACCAAAAUAUCAGAAUUAACAUUUCAAAUACACAAGAUUUGAAGCAGCAAAAGAAAAGAAUUGCAGGUGUAUAAUACACAAAAGGAUAUUGAUUCUUACCAGGCUGAAAUGAAUUAGUAGUUGAACUUUCCUUCAGCUGUUUUACUGCAUACCAGUCAAUAAUUCCAGUCAACAUAAGGAGUACAGUCAUUGUUAUCAACCUGUGUAUAUAUGUUGAAUAGAUUAUGAAGAAAGAAAA